GAGCGGAUCAAAUCGGCGGCUCGAGCGGCGGCGGCGGCGGCUCGAGCUUGCAGGGGCUAGGGGCAGAUCCGGAGGCCGGGGUCGCCGGUGACGACGAGGAAGGCGGAGCACGGGCGGAUCCAUGGCAUCCGCGGCUCCUGGGCAGAAAGGAGAUAGGGAGGCCAGGGAGAGAAGAAGGAAGAAAGGAGGGGUUGUGCGGCGACCUAGAGAGGAGCUCGCCGGAGCUGGGCGAAGGCGGACUGGCGCGGGAGACGGAGGGGUCCGGCGCGGCGGCGCGAAGUCCUUGCAGGUGCAGGCAGGCGUCGAAGCAGAGGACAAGAGGAUCCCCUGAUCCAUCCCCUCCUACCCAUCCAGCCCUUCCUCGAUGGCCCACGUGCGACGAGCCCCUACGCGGGGUAAGAAGGGGGAUCACACGAGGUGGAGCACUCCAGCCCCCUCCUAGCCCUACCACGAUAAACUAUUGUUCACUAAACUGAGCAGCUAGCUACUGGUGUCUCAAAGAUUAAGCGCAGAAAUUUGUUGAAGCUAAAGAUGAAGAGGAACUCGUGGAAGAGGAAAAGAAAUGCCAUGGUAGAAAUUCAUUCACACAUAUCAGGGUCAUAGUGAGAGGAUUGAUCUGCUUGAUUCGCUCCUGAUGGUCGGUGGAUUGUUUCUGGUAAGGCUAAGAGUUCUGUGAAGGUAAGAUUUUGAUCCAACCUAUUAAGCAGUACCACACAAAUUACAGGAGAAUCUGUUGUUUGGUCCAACCUAUAAAGGUGCCAUAUAUGCUCAGUUGCUCACAACAGUGCUAAUAUUAACAAGGUGAAUAAACUCACGCUCUAGCGGAAGAUAUCCUUUAUAUUUUUGGGGUCACUGAUACCUGUACAAAAACAUAAGAUGUGUUCCUAGAUAACAUCUUUCCUCCAAAAUAAUUUAUAUAUCAUCUAGACUUGGUUAGUUGUAACUUUUGCUUUCUAUUCUUUCCACAAGCUUCUGUAGGUUCAAAUGACAAUUGUUAAAUUUUGGGACCUUAAGACUUUUUAGUUGAUUGCAUCCUCUAGACCGGGAGGUAUAAUAGCAUAUCCUAAUUGUCUAAUUGAUGAUUCAGAAAGCUCUGGCUCUACUCAUGUAUAUCAGUUUAUAUUCAGAUUGUGAAGUACUCCUUCUAUAAAGAAAUAUAAGAGAGUUUAGUUCUAUAAAACAUAUUUAUAUGCAGUUAUCCAACAAAUUUAUGUCCUAAAAUCUUACAACUUCUCUUAAGCUGUUUUUUUGCGGGAAAACUAUAUUUGAUCAUAACCUUGGCUUAAAUGCAAUUUAAUUUCAACCUCAAAUUUGGUGAUUUUUUAAUGGGCACAACUGUGUCGGUAGAGGACUAGAGGUUGACAGUUAUGAAUUUUGUGAUAAUCUUCGGUUAUACUGUUAUAUAUAGCACUUUCCAGGUUAUAUGGUUCACAUUCUCUGAGCCAAUUCACAAUGACCAUUCCAGAUUUGGGCCUUGCAUUUUUAAAUUAUUUUGUAACAUUUUGGUUGAUCUUUGAUGCUGCUCCUUAAUUUUUUACAUUGACUGGUGUAGAACUAAAUGAGUGUUGACAUUCAAGGGAAGCCCCAAGCUUUUAAACAGUAUAUGAAUGUUGUUAGCUUGGUCCUUCACAAAUAAGUCCCUUGAUGUGUGUCAUCUCUCAUUGCAUAUAACAUCUGGUCUUUCUAUUUUUCAUUGAUUUUUCUACUCCCGGUGCACUGAAUCUGCAAGGGCGUGUAGACGGCAGGAUGAGCAGCAGCAUGCCGGUGGUAAGACAGGGCGUGUAGACGGUAGGAUGAGCAGCAGCAUGCCGGUGGUAAGACAUGGCGUGUAGACGGCAGGAUGAGCAGCAGCAUGCCAGUGGUAAGACAGUGCGUGUUGGCGUACGCGAAGCAGCCAUGCAUGAAUCUUGGCGGCGGAUGCUUGCUGGCCGUAGUGGCAGCACCAAUUCAAGCUGGGAGGCGGGAAGCUGGAGUAGCAGGAACGAUUGGUCGUCCAUUAGGCAUGAACCCAACUCCACUGUACUCCCUUUUCUUUCCGUAACCAAUUCUUUGGAGCAGACAUGUAGGUACAGUUACAUAGCCUGGAGAUUGUUUGCUUUUUUUGGUUAGUUCAGAUUUAGAUUUCUCAGAUAUUCACUAUUUGAUCAAUCGAUCCAUGUAGAUCUCAUUGACAUGGUUUGUGGAAUGUACCUUUCAGCAUUUACCCUGAUUAGUUAAAUCCCUAGCAGGUGAUAAGAGGAAGAGGAUGAUCAGGAAAGCAUGGAGUUAAGUGAAUCAGUACAGGAAGAAAGGCCGUUCAGAAAAAAAAUAGUAGAGGAAGAAAGGGAGGAGCAGCAGUCAAGGUUGGGCUUGGUGGCCUCGACGCCUAUGACCUCCUCUAUGCCAAGCCUCGCAUCACCCAGUUAUUAUGUUAUCUACUCCCUCCGUUCCGAAUUACUCGUCGCAAAAAUGGAUGUAUCUAAAUGUAUUUUAGUUCUAGAUACAUCCAUUUCUGCGACGAGUAAUUUGGAACGGAGGGAGUACUUCCAUGGAUUUACUGGCGUAUAGAAAUAUGACUAUCUGAUGUACUCGUAUGACUUAGCUGAGUUCCCUUUUUAUGUAACAAGGCUCUCUUUUAAAGUUGUUUUGCUGUCCUCAUUCCUCGUGAUCUCGGAAUCAGUAUUUAGUUGAUAGCUGUGGUAACAAAGGAUAGUUUGCGAACAAGGUUCUCACCCCUUAUAUUUAUUUUGGCAUGGAAAAGCACUCUGAUUAAAUC